GUGAACCAAUCACAUUGAGGGCAGAAGAUGGAUCCUAACUGGAAUUUAUGGGUCUCAAAAAUGUCAAGAGGGAAGCCUUAAUCUCCGGGUCUAAAUUGGAAAGAAUGUAAGCCUUGAACUCUAACAAGCUUUGGAGUAAAAUGGGAUAGAAUCUGGGCUUACAAUAGCACUAAUCAUCAAAACGAUGGAACCGCACAGGAUGGUUUACCACCACUGAGUGCUACGUUGUUCUUGUAGGUGAAAGGAGCUUCUAUACCACCUCAAUCCUUAACUGAACAAGCAGUGAUUUGUAUACACAACAGCGUCCAGCAGUCUUGUCGAGGGUACUGACGAGGAAUCUGUUCCACCAUUGCAGUGAGCUGUGGUUGCAGUUGCUGACACAUCGUGCAGCCGCUUUCUCCAAAAGGGUAUCUCUUUCCAGCUGGAUUUCUGAUGAUGAUUUCCUGGACUGUUCCUCCUCAUUUUGCCACAGACAACCCUAACCCAAAAAUGACUCUGAAACUGUUUUUCAGAGAGGGCAAAUACAUUGUGUGGACGUGUGCAAGUCCACACAACGUCAUCACCCCCUACAUUAUGUGGACUUCUUUUGUACAGAGGCCUGCACUAUGUAUGCCACGCCUGCACAGUUUCUUACUCGUGGAAAGAGAAGCAUUUCAGUCCCCAUUUGGCACGCUUCAGUGGCAUAUACUGUUUGAAGCUGAGUCAUCUUUUAAAUUUCACCAGAGUUUCUGUCCCGUGAGAUGUUUCGUCUAUCGGGCCCAAACUUGACGGAAGGAUGAGAGUGCAAUGUUCAGCAGAGGGCGCAAUUAACAAUCUCUCACGGGGACGGUCAUAAUGUGCUAUGCUCUUGGGCAAGGCAAGGUGAAGCACUAGAAAGAUUUAGCUCGUGAUUGCAAGACAUGGGAAGUAGCUAGAGGGGUUUUGCAAAACCUGAACAGUGCAUGCUGUAUUAAGAUCCUUACUGAUGUUGUUGCAUAACAAUGCUACAAAUACUAUCAUUUCGGGAAAACUACCGUAGUUGGAGUCCAAACAGGAUGAUGAGAGGCGGUGAAAUGUACGGGCGAAAGUUUUGUAGGCAAAACAUUGAUUUCUGUCACCCAUCAACUUCUAAUACAACAAGGCAAAAUGUCUUACUGAAGUCAUGAGUGAACCAGGUCCAACGAAUUCCAUGGGCGGCCGCUGCUGGUAAGACGAGAAGUUCCACCAGCUAUCAUUCUUCGCUGACCAUGAGUUUGGGGUACAGUACUCAUAGCUGUCUUCCUAUUCUAAAGGGGAAGUAUGUUAAGGGGACGCUGUGACCAUAGAGUAAGGAAACAAAAUAAUGGUCUAACCCACUUCUGCAAUAUUUAAGCACUUCUAUUUUUUCUGUUGUCUGCAUCAAAAUCCAACAAACCACUUUUUAAUUAAAAUAGUGAUCGCGCGAGCCUUGUUUUUAGAAUAGAAUACAUUAACACGCAGCAAGUAGGCCCCGCAAAGCUUGCAAGAUCCUCAUUUCCAAAAAAAAAAAUGAUUUUAGGGUAAAGAGGGCAAACGCGAGGUAUGCCCUGCGUGUUCUUCACCGCCGUUUAAGUUUCAAAGUUGGUCAAGCCAUGAUCAGGUGAUAUGUGAUAGUUGACUGCUGGUGCACAGUCUGAGUCUCGAACUGUUCAUUAUCAAGCGACAGUGACUUCAUUUAAAAGUUAUUUUUAUAUCAUGCUCUCAGACGAACUCGAUCUCUUCAUCGAUGCAAGUCUACAAUGAAAAUGGCAAUGAUUUAUAGACUGCAUGUGCUUCCCAUCAUCUAAUAGUAAUUUCCUUUCAGCUAGGUUUCAAUACAGCGCAUUUCUGAGAUUUUACGGCUAAAUCUUUCCAGGCAGUAUCAUUACCUUGUGAGUACAUUCAGCUGACAAAAAAAAAAAGUCAUGCGAAAAGUUGGAGUUUUUGCUAAACUUGCUUUAUGUAUUAAGUCUUUGUAUUCAAUGUCUUUUUCAUUUCGUGGAACGUAUUUUCUGAUUACCGUGUGCUUCCCUCGGGAGGUAUGACAUUUAGGCCGCAAAGGCCGUGCAUGUUGCAGACUACCGAUAAACAACGUUUUGUUAACAAAAAUAAGUUUUGGAUAAGCUUUUUGAGGAGUAUAAAUGGUUCUCAUUGAUUUCUUCAUCAAUCUCAUUUUCGUGUUGCAUGAGUUGCGUGUGGGCUAUCCAGAAAAGUGGAAAUCUUGAACCUUUCGAAGUGACCAAAAUAAAGUCAUCGUCGUUCGAUGAAUCGACUGAGCAGUGUCACUAGAUGGAGCCAUAAAAAUACACUAGCUAGGCCUAUGCGAGAUACGUUUCUUUGCUUCUCUAUCUUUCUUUGUGCGAUCGAUCAACUGAUUAUUUCAUCGUUUUAAACAACCACUUUAAACCAAAAUGUAUCUCACUCGAAGGUGAGGAUUCCCGUUACCCCGUUGAGGUACCCCGUUGAUUUGCUGUCGUAUUUCUCCGUAGCCAGCUGCAAAACGGGAGGUACAGCGACACUGUCGAACUGACUCGGAAACCACUCUGGUGACGUCAUCCGGUACACGAAACUGUCAAUUACCCGAAAGAAUGAUAGUCCUGGGCCGAACUAGACGCAGCAUCUGCAGAAGAACCCGACACCCUGAAAGGUCGUUGGACAAUGUCCAGCACGUCAAGCAUAGUGGGUAAAGGAUCUCCGACUUGGACUUACAGAGAAUGUCCUCUGACCGGGAAGGACCAGCAGCCGUCGAGACUCCUGGUCUCGUAUUACGAUUUCGUGAACUUUCUUUUACUCAAGCCCUCUACUUUAAAUCAAAAGAAGCUUCAAUUAUAUACAAAUAC
rnacentral:lncRNA from 1 species